GCAGAUGGCUCAGUGGUUAAGAGCACUGGCUGCUCUUCCAGAGGUCCUGAGUUCAAUUUCCAGCACCUGCA
rfam:Rattus norvegicus chromosome 7, whole genome shotgun sequence.